UACAGAGGUCUCAAGCGUUGUUCGGAUUCAUUGGGCGUAAAGGGUGCGUAGGCGGCGCGGUAAGUCGGGUGUGAAAUCUCGGAGCUUAACUCCGAAACUGCAUUCGAUACUGCGGUGCUUGAGGACUGGAGAGGAGACUGGAAUUCAUGGUGUAGCAGUGAAAUGCGUAGAGAUCAUGAGGAAGACCAGUGGCGAAGGCGGGUCUCUGGACAGUUCCUGACACUGAGGCACGAAGGCCAGGGGAGCAAACGGG
rnacentral:rRNA from 1 species